GACGAACGCUGGCGGCGUGCCUAAUACAUGCAAGUCGAGCGGACUUUUAAAAGCUUGCUUUUAAAAGUUAGCGGCGGACGGGUGAGUAACACGUGGGUAACCUGCCUGUAAGACUGGGAUAACUCCGGGAAACCGGGGAUAAUACCGGAUAACUUCUUUCCUCGCAUGAGGAAAGAUUGAAGGAUGGCUUCGGCUAUCACUUACAGAUGGACCCGCGGCGCAUUAGCUAGUUGGUGAGGUAACGGCUCACCAAGGCAACGAUGCGUAGCCGACCUGAGAGGGUGAUCGGCCACACUGGGACUGAGACACGGCCCAG
rnacentral:rRNA from 1 species